rnacentral:misc_RNA from 1 species
AACGCACAUUGCGCCCCUUGGUAUUCCGAGGGGCAUGCCUGUUCGAGCGUCAUUACAACCCUCAAGCAUUGCUUGGUAUUGGGCUCCGCUGCUUACCCAGCGGGCCUUAAAAUCAGUGGCGGUGCCGUCGAGGCCCUGAGCGUAGUAAAUAUCCUCGCUAUAGGGACUCGGUGGACGCUGGCUAUUAACCCCCAACUUUCUAAGUUUGACCUCGGAUCAGGUAGGGAUACCCGCUGAACUUAA